rnacentral:rRNA from 1 species
UACGAAGGGGGCUAGCGUUGCUCGGAAUCACUGGGCGUAAAGGGUGCGUAGGCGGGGCUUUAAGUCAGGGGGGAAAUCCUGGAGCUCAACUCCAGAACUGCCUUUGAUACUGAAGAUCUUGAGUGCGGGAGAGGUGAGUGGAACUGCGAGUGUAGAGGUGAAAUUCGUAGAUAUUCGCAAGAACACCAGUGGCGAAGGCGGCUCACUGGCCCGAUACUGACGCUGAGGCACGAAAGCGUGGGGAGCAAACAGG